rnacentral:lncRNA from 1 species
GGCUAAAGUGAGGAGAAGGUAGAGUGCUGAGACAGUGUGGUAGAAAAAGGUGUGUGGCUAGCGAAAAGAUGGAGGACUUGGUGUUGAGUGAUGGUGGCGUUUCACAAAUAUUAACAGUAAGUUACUGCGCGUUAUUUAUUAUAAGGCUUGUCUUUGGUGUUGUUGUUGUUGUUGUUGUUGUGCUUGUUGCUGUUGUUUUUAUAAGCAAAUGUUAUUGUUGCUGCAGCUACCGUUCUGUUAUAUACAUAUAUAUAUAUAUAUAUAUAUAUAUAUAUAUAUAUAUAUAUAUAUAUAUAUAUAUAUAUAUAACUAUCUAUCUAUCUGGCUUUCUAUAUGUCUGUCUGUCUAUCUGUCUGUCUGUCUGUCUGUCUAUCUAUCUAUCUAUCUAUCUAUCUAUCUAUCUAUCUAUCUAUCUGUCUGUCUGUCUGUCUAUCUGUCUGUCUAACUAUCCAUCUCUCUCUGUCUAACUAUCUACAUACAUGCACACACACACACACACACACAUAUAUAUAUAUAAUAUAUAAUAUAUAAAACAUAUGCAUAUAUAUAUAUAUACAUAUAUGUACGUACCUACUUCUACAUGUAUAUAUACACGCAUAUAUGAGUACAGGACACCAAAAAAACGUCGAACACAAUGAGAAACGAAAGCAUAGACACAAACCCAAGGAACUGGACAUUAUUCUUAAACAACAACAACAAAAAAAGAGUACAGAACAAAUAACACAAGGAAAAAACCCCUUCUUCAGUCGCCAUGGUUUCAUCAGAGAAAUAGACUGCCAGACAGACAGACAGACAGACAGACAGACAGACAGACAGACAGAUAGAUAGAUAGAUAGAUAGAUAGAUAGAUAGAUAGAUAGAUAGAUAGAUAGAGAGACAGACAGACAGACGGACAGAUGGAUGGACGGCAGGAUGGAUAAACACGCAUACACACAUACACAAACGCACAUGCAUAUACAUAAACACAUAGACACACACACACACACACACACAUGAGCCUGAUGUGUAUAAAUCUUUCUUUGAAGCUCACAUAAAGCUAUAAAAUGUCGCAUGUAAAUACAGGAUUGCUUCGAGACCCACUGCAGAUAAAAAUAUGGCAUCAACAAUAUAUAUAUAUAUACAUUCUGUUAUUCGUUUACUUGCUUCAGUCCUUUGGCUGCGGCCAUUCUGGAGGACCGCCUUAAGGGAUUUUUAGUCGAAAAAAUCGACUCUAGGACUUUUCUUUGUAAGCCUACUACUUAUUGUAUCGGUGUCUUUUGCCGAACCGCUAGUUACGGGGACGUAAACACACCAACAUCGGUUGUCAAGUGAUGGUGGUGGGGGACAAACACAAACACAAAGAUACAUACAUAAAAAUACGUACAUACGUACAUACAUAUGUGUGUGUGUGUGCGUGUGUGUGUGUGCGUGUGUGUGUGUGCGUGUAUACGACGGGCUUCUUUCAGAGUCUGUUCACCAAAUCCACUCACAAGGCCUUGGUCGGCUCGAGGCUAGAGUAGAAGACACUUGCCCAAAGUGCCAUGCAGUAGGACUGAACCUGGAACCAUGUAGUUGGGAAGGAAGCUUCUUAUCACCCAGACACGCCUGAUACAUUUGCACACACAUACACAUAUUUAUAUGGAUACAUAUAUGAAUAUAUGUAUGAAUAUAUACUAAAGAAUUAUAUAUAUAUAUAUAUAUAUAUAUAUAUAUAUAUAUAUAUAUAUACGUAUAUAUAUAUAUAUGCACAAAUACACACACAUAUAUAUAUAUAUAUGCAUAUGAUAGAUACACACCUACCGAACCACAUAUACAUACACAUUCACACACACACGCAUACACACAUAUAUAUACGUAGGUACAUAUAUGGGAUUACGUGCAUUUCUAUUUCUCUGUCUUCCGUCAUUCUUUUCUUUCCAUCUUUAUCCUAUCUUUCAGAAGGAGAGUGUAUACUCGAAACAUUAAACAUAUUUCCCCCCUUUUCUUCCCCUACCGCCUUAGGAGCAAAUUAAUACCACCUCUCUAUAUUUUUUAUUUCAUCUUUCUGUUGUACUUUACGUUACCUUUGCGCUAAAUAAAUACACACACACACACACACACACACUCUCUCUCUCUCUCUCUCUCUCUCUCUCACACACACACACACUGCCGCAUAAAUAUGUAUACACAUGUAUAAAUAAUAUGUCUAUUCGAAAAUAUAUUUAUAUAAGUAUAAGUAAUAAUAUAUAUAUAUGUAUAUGUGUAUAUAUGUGAGUGGCUUGUGUGUGUGUGUGUGUUUGUGUGUUGUGUGUGUGUGUGUGUGUAUGUGUGUGUGUGUGUGUAUUCAUUGAUAUAAAUGUUGGAUCCCCGAUGUUUACGACGAUCAGUAUUUACUUCGAUGAACUAAACAAUCUUCUCAUGGAAUUAGAGUGUUUACUGGCUGUGUAUUCCACAGACUCGUAUCACCUCAGCCUAUGGAAACUGCUAGUUUAAUCCAUUCAGCAAACACUUUUCAAUGUACCCAUUUUCAGUCAAAGCCCUU